rnacentral:rRNA from 1 species
CUCAAAGGAAUUGACGGGGCCCGCACAAGCGGAGGAGCAUGUGGUUUAAUUCGAUGAUACGCGAGGAACCUUACCUGGGCUCGAACGUAAGAUGACUGUAGGUGAAAGCUUACAUCUCUUCGGAGCAUUUUACGAGGUGCUGCAUGGUUGUCGUCAGCUCGUGCCGUGAGGUGUCGGGUUAAGUCCCAUAACGAGCGCAACCCCUACCUUUAGUUGCCAUCAGGUAAUGCUGGGGACUCUAAAGGAACUGCCUACGCAAGUAGUGAGGAAGGCGGGGAUGACGUCAAAUCAGCACGGCCCUUACGUCCAGGGCUACACACGUGCUACAAUGGCCGAUACAGAGGGCAGCUACCUGGUGACAGGAUGCAAAUCUCCAAAGUCGGUCUCAGUUCGGAUCGGAGUCUGCAACCCGACUCCGUGAAGUUGGAUUCGCUAGUAAUCGCGCAUCAGCCAUGGCGCGGUGAAUACGUUCCCGGGCCUU